rnacentral:tRNA from 1 species
GCUAGAGUGGCAGAGCUCGGAAAUGCGAGAGGUUUAAGCCCUCUUGAACGAAGGUUCAAACCCUUCCUCUAGCU